rnacentral:lncRNA from 1 species
ACCCCUCAACGCAGGUUCCAGCACACUUCAGCUGUCAUCUUACAACUGCAGCCUGCUUCACCAGUGCCCCAGCAGUGUGUCCCUGAUGACUGGAAAGAAGUGGCACCAGGGGAGAAAAGUGUGCCUGAGACGCGGUCUGGCCCAUCACCACAUCAGCAGGCUAUUGUCACUGCCAUGCCUGGUGGCCUGCCUGUACCCACGAGCCCUAACAUCCAGCCGUCCCCAGCUCACGAUGAGAAGGGGUUUUGAACAGCAGUCCAUUCCACUGUAGAUUUGCUCUAAUUAUCAGAAAGUUGCUUUUCAAAUGAAGUCAAAACCUGCUCUCUUGGAAUUUGCCAGCAUUGGUCAUGAUUCUGUCUUGUGAAUUAUAAGAGUCCAUCUUAUACAGUGUUUGUAGACAGUUGUCGGACUGUCUCUUGCCUCUCCCCCCAUUAAAAAAGAGAAAAUCUCCAGGCUAAA